GCGACGGCGAGGCGCCGGACAGUGCCCGCGGCUUCGCGCGCCGGGUGCUCGGCGGCGAGUUCGAUCUCGGCCAUCUCG
rnacentral:tRNA from 1 species